GUAUCCACCAGUAGAACCCUUCGUUGCCCGAAUGCUGGCAGAAACUGUUGGCAGAACGGCAACAUUUUUUUU
rfam:Escherichia coli LF82 chromosome, complete sequence.